rnacentral:lncRNA from 1 species
UACCAGAAAUAGAGCAGAUUUUUACAUAUCAAAGUCUGUACAAAAAGAAAAGACAAGAUGGGCAUAUGUCUUUGAAAAGAAAAAGAGAAACCAGAGACUCCAUAAUGCAGAAAUAAUAAGGAACAAAUGGUGCCUAAGUAAAAUGAGAUAAUUGAUGGAAGAUCAAAAUUAACAUUAGUUAAAGAUGAUAAGUCAAAGAAAAGGGUGAUUAUUAGUACCCACAUAUAUGAUAUGUUCCUCUCCUGCUACAUAACAGAAUCCCAAGCUGAGUUGUUUACAUGAAGAUCCAACAUCUAGACAUAUUAAUCAUCAUAAUAAAUUGACUAAGAUGGAAGGCUACCCAGACUUUCUGAAAACCAUGAAAACCAAGAAAGUACAGAAUGUCAAAUGUACACAUCUCAAUAUAAAUAUAACUAUUCACUUUCAUUUGAUAAAUAAUAACAUAUACAGACGUGUGAGCUCUCAGUUGGGGUGGGGGCAUUCCUUUUUUGAGCGGGGUGCUUUCAGUUUUAAUGGACCAUCUUCAGUGCUGUUGCAUCUUUUAACCAAAACAAGAUGGAUGUAUUACA